CAGUUGGUACUCAGUUGGUAGAGCGGAGGACUGUUGCAGAUAAAGUGGAAAUCGUUAGGCCGCUGGUUCGACUCUGGCUUGAAGGA